rnacentral:rRNA from 1 species
UACAGAGGGGGCAAGCGUUAUUCGGAAUUAUUGGGCGUAAAGGGCACGUAGGCGGCUUUGCAAGUGACGGGUGAAAUCCCUCGGCUUAACCGAGGAACUGCCUGUCAGACUGCAUUGCUUGAGUGCGGUAGGGGCAGAGGGAAUUCCCAGUGUAGCGGUGAAAUGCGUAGAUAUUGGGAAGAACACUGGUGGCGAAAGCGCUCUGCUGGGCCUGCACUGACACUGAGGGACGAAAGCUAGGGGAGCGAAAGGG